AUGUGGAGAGGCGACGGAAAAGCCGGAAGGCAUCAGGCCUUGCAGCCGGGGAUCCGGCGAGAUGAUGGGCGCGAGCCGCGAGGUAGUUUGACGUAGCAGGCAGCAAAGCUCUGCCACAGCGGCGACGGAGCACCAAGGCACGGCCAGCGAGGGCGCGAGCGAGACAAGGCGCUGCAGAAAGGGUUGCAGAGGGGCUUCCGUUGCGAUUGGGGAGGAGGGUACAGGAAUCCAUCCUGUCGCGGCCGGCGACUGGGUGAAGCGGCGGGCGUCAGAGAGCUCAAGCCACGCGGCGGAGAAGCUUAGAAGCGGCGCAUGCUGCUCGAGUGCGUCUGCCUCGGUAGAUCCGGGGAAAAGAUUUGUGGGUCCACCGGUCAAUCUCAGUUGUC
rnacentral:lncRNA from 1 species